GGGGCUGUAACGGUUUCGACGUUUUGGUGAACGCUAUUUCGUGAUACAGGCCGAGAGCGAGCUAACUCUCGAAAAUCAAUGGCUCAAAACAACGUACAUGCGAACAACAUCGUACCUUUUGCUCGUAAGCAAGCUGCUGUUGCAGUUGCCUAAAAACCUCUAAUUGGUUCGAGCGUCUGUAGUUUGACUCCGUUAAGGACUAUGGACCAACCCCCAACGGAUGCGCUAGUUGAUUGCCUCUGGUCGAUCGCUAGCUAAGACUUCACCAGAGCAUCCCACCGUUCGGGAUAAGGAACGGUUCCCGCUUCGAGGAUGAGAGAAGCUAAGCCUGUGAAUGAGCGGAGUACUAAUAACCAGAGCGGACACGGGUUCGACUCCCGUCAGCUCCAUUU
rnacentral:tmRNA from 1 species